rnacentral:rRNA from 1 species
GACGAACCGUGCGAACGUUAUUCGGAAUCACUGGGCUUAAAGCGCGUGUAGGCGGGACGGCACGUCGGUCGCUGAAAUCCCCCGGCUCAACCGGGGAACGGGCGCCGAUACGACCGGCCUGGAGGGACGUAGGGGGACCUGGAACUUCCGGUGGAGCGGUGAAAUGCGUUGAGAUCGGAAGGAACGCCCGUGGCGAAAGCGAGGUCCUGGACGUUUUCUGACGCUGAGACGCGAAAGCCAGGGGAGCGAACGGG